rnacentral:rRNA from 1 species
GAUGAACGCUGGCGGCGUGCCUAAUACAUGCAAGUCGAGCGAAGAGGGAGGAGGGGCGUAACACGUGGGUAAACUGCUUUACGUCUGGGAUAACUUCGGGAAACCGGUGCUAAACCGGCUACUUUUAGAUGGAUCCGCGGUGUAUUAGCUGGGUGGUAAGGUAACGGCUUACAAAGGCAACGAUGCAUAGCCGACCUGAGAGGGUGAUCGGCCACACUGGAACUGAGACACGGUCCAGACUCCUACGGGAGGCAGCAGUAGGGAAUCUUGCGCAAGGGGCGAAAGCCUGACGGAGCAACGCCGCGUGAGUGAAGAAGGUCUUCGGAUCGUAAAACUCUGUUAUCAGGGAAGCGGUACCUAAACAGAAAGCCACGGCUAACUACGUGCCAGCAGCCGCGGUAAUUC